rnacentral:rRNA from 1 species
CCUACGUGUGGCUGCAGUGGGGAAUAUUGCACAAUGGGGGGAACCCUGAUGCAGCACUGCCGCGUGAAGGAUGAAGGUUUUCGGAUUGUAAACUUCUUUUGUACGGGACGAAGAAAGUGACGGUACCGUAAGAAUAAGCCACGGCUAACUACGUGCCAGCAGCCGCGGUAAUACGUAGGUGGCAAGCGUUAUCCGGAUUUACUGGGUGUAAAGGGCGAGGAGGCGGGAUUGCAAGUCAGAUGUGAAAACUAUGGGCUCAACCGAUAGAGUGCAUUUGAAACUGGCAGUCUUGAGUGGGCGAUGAGUAUGCGGAAUGCGUGGUGGAGCGGUGAAAUGCAUAGACAUCACGCAGAACUACGAUUGCGAAGGCAGCAUACGGGCGCCCGACUGACGCUGAGGCACGAAAGCGUGGGUAUCGAACAGGAUUAGAUACCGCAGUAGUC